rnacentral:rRNA from 1 species
UUAAUAGUAAGAUCUGCUCAAUGAAUAUUUAAAUAGCCGCAACCCGUGCUAAGGUAGCAUAAUCAUUUGUCUUUUAAUUUAAGACUAGAACAAAAGAUUUAACAUUUUAAUAAAUUUAUUUAAUUUAAUAAUUAAAAUUUUACAAAUAGUAAAAAUACUAUUAUAUAUAAGAAAGACGACAAGACCCUAUUAAACUUAACUUUAGUUAUACUGGGGCAGUAAAUUAAUUAUUAUUUUAAUAAAAAUAUUAUUCAAUAUAUCCUUUAUAAUAGAAUUAACUAGUUACUAUAGGGAUAACAGCGCAAUUAUUUUUAUAAGCUCUUAUAUAAAAAAUAGAUUACGACCUCGAUGUUGAAUUAAUUACCUAAAUAAGGUAAAUCUUAAAUAAGGAAGUCUGUUCGACUUUUAAAAAAUUACAUGAUUUGAGUUCAGACCGGUGUAAGCCAGGUCGGUUUCUAUCUUCUAUAUAGUUUUAUGUAGUACGAAAGGACCUAUAAAUAUAAUAUAAUUAAAUUAUAUUGGCAGAAAAAUGCAUUAGAAUUAGAAUCUAAUAAAACUUAA